AUACGGAGGAUGCGAGCGUUAUCCGGAUUUAUUGGGUUUAAAGGGUGCGUAGGCUGAAUAUCAAGUCAGCGGUGAAACGUUACAGCUUAACUGUGACCGUGCCGUUGAAACUGUUAUUCUGGAGUGCGAGCGAGGUAGGCGGAAUGUGCCGUGUAGCGGUGAAAUGCAUAGAUAUGGCACAGAACUCCGAUUGCGAAGGCAGCUUACCAGUACGCUACUGACGCUGAGGCACGAAAGCGUGGGUAUCGAACAGGAUUAGAUACCCUGGUAGUCCACGCGGUAAACGAUGAUCACUAGCUGUAUGCGAUAUACAGUAAGCGGCCGAGCGAAAGCGUUAAGUGAUCCACCUGGGGAGUACGUUGGCAACAAUGAA
rnacentral:rRNA from 1 species